GCUGGGCGUGGUGGCUCACGCCUGUAAUCCCAACACUUUGGGAGGCUGAGGCGGGUGGAUCACCUGAGGUCGGGAGUUCAAGACCAGCCUGACUAACAUGGAGAAACCCCGUCUCUA
rnacentral:SRP_RNA from 1 species